rnacentral:rRNA from 1 species
GACGAACGCUGGCGGCGUGCCUAAUACAUGCAAGUCGAGCGGACCUCUUCGGAGGUCAGCGGCGGACGGGUGAGUAACACGUGGGCAACCUGCCUGUAAGACUGGGAUAACUCCGGGAAACCGGAGCUAAUACCGGAUACUAUGUCAAACCGCAUGGUUUGACAUUCAAAGACGGUUUCGGCUGUCACUUACAGAUGGGCCCGCGGCGCAUUAGCUAGUUGGUGAGGUAACGGCUCACCAAGGCGACGAUGCGUAGCCGACCUGAGAGGGUGAUCGGCCACACUGGGACUGAGACACGGCCCAGACUCCUACGGGAGGCAGCAGUAGGGAAUCUUCCGCAAUGGACGAAAGUCUGACGGAGCAACGCCGCGUGAGUGAUGAAGGUUUUCGGAUCGUAAAACCCUGUUGUCAGGGAAGAACAAGUGCCGGAGUAACUGCCGGCGCCUUGACGGUACCUGACCAGAAAGCCACGGCUAACUACGUGCCAGCCGCCGCCGUAA